CUAUCUCCAUCUCCUCACCUCCCACCUCUUUCACACCAUAUAUAGAAGCUUUUCAUUUGUUUUCUUAUUUUACUUUUACAGAAUACCCAUUUUUGUGUUUGACUCCUGAAACCAGUAUUUUAUUUUCUGCUGAUGACGCUGCUGCAGUGAAAGAAAAAAAAAGAUGUAAUCUUGAUUUAUAUGAUGGCUGGAAAGCUCUAUCCGAUCCACCAGUCUUGUUUUUGUGUUGAAAAUGAAGUGUUCGCAUUUGUUGGGUGAACUUGCUGACUCUGUUCAGCUUCCGUUGAUUGAGGAGAAGGAAGUGGAGGUUUGGCACAGAGUGAAAGAAUUGAGACACAUUUGCGACGCAAUGAAUGUAUAGAACCGUUGGAAAGGCAAGUUAGGGAGGUAUUUCAUAUGAUUGUUCGUAGCCGAACUGAUGGGCUUGACUCUUUUGGAAGGGGACACGAUCCUGAGUCAGUCUAUUGUUCGGUUAGGCGGCUUAAAUUGUAAGUGUCAAAUGUGCAACUUGCAUGUUUUGAUUCUGGCUUCGGUGGAACACCAGGAUCAUGAAGAAGAAGAAGAAGUUGGAGAAGAAAUGAACUUAUAUCUGUCACCAUAUUUCCGUGUAUAGAAAUAGGAUAUGGAGUUGGACAUUUGGUCCUGCUGUUGAUGUCCAACUUUUUGUUAUCACGUGUAAUCAAAUUUCUCAGUAAGUUUUCAUCUUGGUUCUGUAGUUGAUUUUUUGUUCAAAAUUUUGUCUAAUUGUUAGUGGUAUAUACAUUUUGGUCGUCUUUGUUAUACUCUGCAGUCUGCAUUUUAGAUACAAUAAUAAGAUGUCUUCUUAUGACUG